UCUCCCCAAGGUGACUUAUGAAACGGCUUAGGGCUCCAAUACGACCCGCCAUGCGCUGAACUUGGUUGGUAUUGGCCGGCUUGCCAAGUGAAGUAAUCGCCUUGAUUUUGUCCGGGAUAGCCUCAAUGCCUCGUUCUGACACCAACAAGCCAAAUAACUUUCCUGCAGGAACGCCGAAAACACACUUGGUCGGGUUAAGCCUCAUCUGCUACACGCGCAAAUUGUCGAAGGUCUCCUUAAGGUCCUCCAAGAGUGACUCCUUCUUCUGGGGCUUCACCACUAUGUCAUCAACAUAGGCAUGAACAUUGCGCCCAAUUUGAUUGUGCAGGCAAUUCUAGAUGCAGCGUUGAUAAGUCGUCCCUGCGCUCUUGAGCCCGAACGGCAUAGACACAUAGCAAAAGGCUCUAAAGGGAGUUAUGAACGUUGUCUUCUCCUGAUACUCCAACGCCAUUUUGAUCUGGUGAUAUCCUGAAUAAGCAUCCAGGAAACAUAGUCGCUCACAACCCGCCAUAGAGUCAAUGAUUUGAUCAAUACGAGGGAGGGCGAAAGGAUCUUUUGGGCAAGCCCUGUUGAGGUCGGUGUAGUCAAUGCACAUGCGGAAGGUACCAUUCUUCUUGAGUACCAGAACCGGAUUGGACAACCACUCACGAUGAAAAACCUCAACAAUGAAUCCAGCAACCAAGAGUCGGGCGACUUCCUCCCCAAUCUCUUUACGCCUUUCUUCAUUAAACCAGCGAAGAUACUGCCGAACUAGCUUAAUCUUAGGAUCAAUGUUAAGGUGGUGCUCAGCGAAUUCUCUCGGUACACCCGGCAUAUCAGAAGGUUUCCAUGCGUAGAUGUCCCGAUUCUCAUGGAUGAAUUCGAUGAGCGUGCUUUCCUAUUUGGGAUCCAAACACGUCCCAAUGGUGAAUUGCUUGGAAGAGACGCCGGGCAUGAAGUCCACCAACUUAGUGUCAUCUGUCGGUUUGAACUUGACGGGCGGCUUUGUAUCGACUGUGGGUUUCUUGAGUGGUGUCAUAUCCGUCGGAUCAACAUUAGCAUGAUGAAACUUGAGUUCCUCAGCGGCACAAGCCGACUCAGCAUAAGCUGCGUCUCCCUCUUCGAAUUCUUGAGCUAUCUUCCGGUCUCCACUGAUCGUAAUAGUUCCUUUGGGACCCGACAUCUUGAGCUUGAGGUAGACAUAACAUGGGCGGGCCAUGAAAUGGGCGUAAGCUGGCCGACCGAAAAGCGCGUGGUAAGGACUCCUGAUCUUGACCACCUUAAACAUGAGGGACUCGCUCCUGUAAUUAGACUCUGUGCCAAAGGCCACGUUAAGCUUGAUCCUCCCAACAGGCUAUGCCGACUUACCCGGGACAAUGUCGUGGAAGACCGUGGAGGAUGGCAUCAAAUUGCCUUCCGACAAAUUCAUCCGUCGAAAAGUAUCAAAGUAUAAGAUGUUGAUGCUACUGCCUCCGUCCUAAGGACCUUGGAGAGGGUAUAGCCCCCUACCUGGGGUGCCAUGACCAAAGCUAAGUCGCCAGGGUUGUCGACCUGUGGCGGGUGAUCCUCCCUACUCCAAACAAUGGGUUGUUCAGACCAGUUGAGGUACCUGGGGAGCUCUGGCUCAAUAACACUGAAGGUUAUGUGCCUAACUUUUUGGUCCCUUUUACAAGUACUGGUGGUGAACACAUGAUACUGCCUGCCAUUUAGCUGCUUAGGAUUGUUCUGAAAGCCGUUGUUGUCAUUCUGCUGCUGGGAGCCGCCUUACAGAGGUUGCCACUGAAAAGCACCCUCAGCAUUAUAUUUUUGACUGCUCUGGACUUGAUACUGCCUAGCAUUAGCCUAUGACCCGCCCUGCGGGCCCGGGUUAGGAAAACCACCGAACGGGUUUCUGUGUGAGCCACUCGUACCAAAUUGGUCUGGGAGUCCGCCAUUGUUGCCUCCUUGCCCAUUUUUGAGUGCUUCAGCAAGAAACUCCUGCAUCACAUAACUCCUUGCCCUUCCGCGGUGGUAUGUUGUGGGCAGAGGCCCUUGAGCAUCUCAUGAUAGUUGCGUGGCAUUUUUCCACGGAAGCACCUUUUCUUCUGACGCUCGUUCCCGUUCCCAACGUUAGUAUGGCAACGAAAUCGGCGGCGCCUUCCUGCUGCCUCUUCUUCCCUUGUCCCGCGGGGUGGUAGCUGCCUCGCCCCUAGAACUGAGGGUGGCCUUUGGAUGACUCACCCCUUCUAGCGGUGCUGAUUUUGUCGUCAUCCUCCCCGAGAUCUUUGGUAUCACCUGAUUCGGUGUACCUAGUCACAGUGUCCAUCAACUCCCCCAUGUCUUGCACCUUACGCUUGAGCCGCCCAAGUUUCAACACCAAAGGCUCGUAAUGACAGUUUUUCUCCAAGAUUAGCACGGCCUGAGCCGCCGAAAUAUCAUCCGAUGUAUGGAUCACUUCUGCAACCAGCCGCGUCCAGUGGUGGGCCGACUCAUCCGGCCGCUGGACACAGUGCUUUAAGUCGACGAUAGUCAUCGGGCGCUUGCAGGUCCCUCUGAAGUUUUUAACAAAACGUUCCUUCAACUCGGCCCAGGUGUUGAUGGAGUUGGGUGGCACGUUCUUCAGCGAGGUGCGCGUUGUCCCUUCAAGCAUCAUUGUAAAAUACUUCGCGCAUAUUGCCUCAUUUACAUCGAGCAUGUCCAUCGCAACUUCAUAGCUUUCAAUCCAUGCCCCUGGCUCUAGAUGUGGCGUGUAAUUGGGAACUUUACGUGGGCCUUUGAAAUCUUUCGGCAUACGCUCGUUGCGGAGGCCGGGUGUCAGACAAGGUAUCCCAAUGUUCCUGCCACCCGACUCGGCCUGCAUGGGAGAAGGUAACUUAUAAGCCGGAUAGCCUUGACCCACCGCGGCCGCCGUCUCCAUCAAGCGAGCGGCUCAUGCUGCACCCACGAGUUCUUGAGCCUGUAUGUCGGGUAUUCCGGGCGGGUUGAUCUGCGGUAGACGUCGUCGUUCAUUGCUGGAUACUGUGGGCGGGUCAUCAUGACGACUCCUGGUGUGACUCGCCUGGGGCGUGGAGUGAAGCCGCUCGUGGCUAUACGAAUACUGUGCCUAUUGGACUAUCACCGUUUUCAACAUCUCAAUGGUGUUCCUCGCCUCUACCUCAGUCGGAGAGUUUCCAUGAAUGGGGAGAGAUUCAAGGUUGCGGGUUGCUACUAACACAUUCUCAACAGGGUGUGAGAAGUGACCCCGUGGUGUUUGGAAGCGCGGCGCAUGAGCCGCCCCCAGCUGAGGGGCCUGUGGGUGGGGCGGCGGCUGAGCUGGAUCAACACGCGGGGCGACUUGCCAUGGCCGGGUGGGCUCCGUCCCCGGAGUAUUUGUGCUAUCGAAGAGUCGAGUUGGGUUCAGAUCGGCCAACACACGGUUGUGAUGCCUUAUCUGGUGAAUCGCAUCGGAAGCCCGUUGUUGUUGUUCAAGCCGCCAUCCCUCAGCAUUUAGCCGUUCUGACUCCGCGGUGAUCUGGGCCCGUUGUGUUGCCAUCAUGGCCGCUUCUCCUCCGAUGUCGCGCUGUAUUUUGGCCAUCUCUUCCCCUAGUUUGGCUAACUCAGCAUGGACUUCUUCCUGAUUCUCCGCCGUCAUAGUGAUCACUGUGAGUUUGGCCAUCUCUGCUACCAAAUCCGCCAUGGCUUGAGCCGGAGUCUUCCCCAAUCCGCUGGCUUCUUUGUUACCAGCCACGUUUGGCUGAGGGGCCGCCGCUGCCGCCAUGUAGAUGGCGACUUGGUGGUGGGGUCCUUAAACUUCCUGAUAGAUUGCUGCCUCGGGCAAUCCCCCGAGCUACCCUUCGUGGAGAGGAUAGAUCGAAUAUGUGUCGCCCGUGGAAGACUCGUCGUCCGAGUUGACAGGGGUGAUCUCCUGGAUCACUGGCUCGUCCGGUAGGUCGGUUCCUUGUGUAAAACCAACGAAAGCACGGUGUUUCCCGACGUGAUGCUUGGCAGGAUGGGCGCACCGGGCCGGCUCGACGAUGUCAGUGAAGGUGUCCGGCUCAGGUACAGGGGCCCCGAUCUUGCCAAUGAAGACGUGGAUCUUACCGAAGGGGGCCAUGUAUCCAGAUUCGAUUGAAUCGGCCUCAGGUCCCCACUAAGAGUUGUCAAUGUAGUACUUCCCACAGCGGCUCUUCAUCAUGAUGCCGACCGCGUAGCUUCCUAACCCUGGAAGGGCUCCCUUUGAGAACUCAACUCCACCGUGCGCAUGCCCCAUGGUGGGCGCCAACUGUCGUGGUUUUGUCAUGACAGAUGUUCUCGUGAAAGGACUUAGUGAUGGUGCCAUCGCACCUUGGUGGCGACUCAAAGGGGGUGAGCAGAAGCGACACUCAGAUUUACCCAGGUUCGGCCCCUCCGAUGGAGGUAAAAGCCUACAUCCUGCUUUGUGUAUAUUGAUGGUGGAUUCGAUUACAAGAUGGGUCUAACUCGCCUGACCUAGCUCUCAAUGGAUUCUAACUUAACCUAUCAGCCCUAGAGACUCGCCCUUUAUAUACAGGUCGAGGCCUUAGGGUUUACAAAGUACUGGCCACAUUACAAAUCGUGGUUGUCCAUAUCUCUAAGUCGUCGUGUCAUACAAGCUAGGAAACCUCCUUGGCGGCUUAUCUUCUCCAUUAGUCUCGAACCGCCAUCUAGUCGUAUGGGCCCUCUCCGGCUCUUUGUAGGUUCUUCUGGUGCAUCUCAGACCUUGGGCCGAGACUUAUCUUGAUCAUGAAUGUAGAAUCUCCGUUUACUUGACCCAGCCCAAUAGGGCAGGUCAUACCGUAGGUCAUAUUCCCAACAAGAGGCAUGGUCCACAAACAGGCAUGGGUCAACUUAUACACACACACACAACUGAAGCAUGGUCCACACACACAGAUAUGGGUUGACACAUACGCACACACACACACAUACACAUCACCCAUCCUUCGUUUUCCGGUGUUAUCAGCCAAAGGGAUGACACACUCUGAGGGCCGACCGAUACGUAUGUCGUCAAAAACAGCACAACGGACUCAUGGUCCACAGAGGGUUCACACACACACACACGCACACACACACAGACAUAUUUUCAAAACCGCAAAAGAAAAUCACUCUAAAUAUUUUCCAAACAGGGACCUCAAGAUUUAUUUAGCCGGGUUGACUUAUCACUAGAAGCAUUUACUUCUAAAUAUGUGUAGUGAUCAUAUCUCCGCCCAAAUGAACAUUGAGAUCUAGCAACUUCCAAAUUGGACAUCCAUCCCUCGACUACUACACCCAUAGAACGCUUAACUUCCAAAUUCAAAUCGAAUUGGUUAGGAGCUCGGAAGCUACAACUUGCUAAUAAGGGUUGCCUCCUAGCAUUUAUAAGACGUUCCCCCAUGGGCACCUCGUGGGACCAGCUACAUAUCGCAGACAUUUAUGGUAGUACUAGAAACCAUGUGCGAUGGUGGCAUGGCAUCGCCUGCCGAUGCCUGCAUGGGAUAAUGAUGAUGUCUCGCUCAUGCUCGAUCGCAUGAUUCCGCUCUUGCGCGACCUCGUCCAUCUUGUCCUCCUCGUCGAGGAGGUUGAUGUCGGGGCUGGCACUUCGGCGGGAAACCGAUUGGCGGAUUGGUAGGAAAAACGUGUUUUGAUAGAACACCAUUUUAAUAUAAAAAAGAUAACUUAUGAAAGAAGGAAGCUCGAGCUAUCACGACACGUGCUUACACCAUGCUUACACAAGCACGAGCUCCAAGCUGAUGUAUAGAGCUGCUUUAAAUUACUCGUGGUUUGUUUGGCCUUUCUUAUACUACAAUAAUUGAGUUUUCUACGUAUUUAAUGUGCAUAAUUAAAAUUGAACUGAAAGCAUAGUCUCAAUGUCAGCAAAAUGGGUUGACAAAUCAUAUUUGUGUGCUUGUGUCCCAGUUUAGGUCACAUGCAAUGAGUGUGAAUGGAUUACAAACAUGUCACCAUCAUGAAUAUGCCAAAAACAUUGAGAAACUUGGCUUUUAGAUUCCCAUAAAUAUAAAACUCGUCUUACAUUUUUCAAACUUACACUGGAGUCGUGAGAAGACACUUAUACGCCAUGGUAAAUUUUUUGACCAAUAUGGGAGAAGUCUCUUGCACCCGAGAACUUCUCUCAAGAUGCAUCAUAGUUUUGAUAGGGAACAUGUCACCUAUGUGGGUGGAACGACAUUCAAUGCCAUUUCUUGCCCAAAUUUUUUUGCACAUGCAACAUAUACUAAUACAAGUGUAUUGCUAAAUUGUAGAAUUAUUCACGGCUUGUUUGGCCCCAUGUAUACAUUAGUUGAGUUCUCUAGCCAUUUCAUGUGUAUAAUUCAAAUUUGAACUACACGCACAUGCUCCAGGGCACCAAAAUGGGUUAGAAAAUUAUUUUUGUGUCCCUCGAUCCCUAUUUAUGCCCCAUGCAUCAGACGCAUGCACUAAAUAUGAAUGGAUUACAAACAUCUCACAGCAGUGUCUAGGCUCCAAACAUUGAGAAACUUGUCUUUUAAAUCCCCAUUAAUCCAAAACUCGCAUGAAAUUCUUAAAUCUUACCCCGAUAUCAUGACACAACACUUAUACGACAUAGUAAUUUUUUCACAAAAUUUGGGACAAGUUUUGGGACUAACAUCUUACACAUCAAAGCUUCCAACGAGAAGCAUCAUGGUUUCAAUAGGGAACAUGUCACCUUUGUGGUCAAAAUGACAUGAGUUUUCUAGGCGCUUAAUGUGAAGAACUCAAAUUUGAACUACAACCACGUGCUCGAGGGCACCAAAAUGGAUUAAAAACCAUUUUUGUUGUUGGGUACUUGUUUAGAUCCCAUGCAUCGAAGGUAAAUGAAUUACAGCCAUAUUGGCAUCAUGACUUGGAUGCAAACAUUGAGAAUCUUGGUUUUUAAAUCCUCAAAAGUCCAACGCUUGUGUGAAAUUCAUGAAACUUACCCAGUGUCAUGCCAUGACACAUAUAUAAUGUGCUAAUAUUUUUGAUGAAAAUUUGUUGGAAAACCAUUUUUGUGUCCAUGGCUGCUCACUUAGGUCCCCUGCAAUGAAUAUGAAUGAAUUUGAAACAUUUAAGCAUCAUAGCUAGGCCACAAUCAUUGAGAAUCUUGAUUUUUGAAUUCCUGUAAAUACCAAACUCGUACGAAAUUAAUGAAACUUAGAGGUCUUGGUACCAUACGGUUCCUAAUUUUAGAAGGCUCACACAAUAACAGGCAACGUAAACAUUUUGGAACAAAUAAUUGCCACGUUAUUGUCACAAAAAGUUGCAUUACGUGAAUCAUGUGCGUUUUCAUAACCAUUUGGUGCAUGUGUCCAACUUAGUGUUUACUUGAUAUGGCAUUGGCGUGCAUACAUCUGUUUGAUUACAGGAAGUCUGUGAGCUUUUGUCGCGUAGACUCGACGGGACGCAUGAGGGCUGUCCGCCGCGCAGCCUCAAUAGUACACAUGAGAGCUAUCUGUCGCGUACGCUCUACGGGAUGCAUGAGAGCAGUCUGUCGCGCAGGCUCUAUGGGACGCAUGAGAGCAGUCUGCUGCGAAGGCUCACCGGGAAGCGAGACUUUUACCUCCACUCUCCGCUCGCCUUGCUUCCAACUUUUGAAUUAAUGGUGUCCCACCCGUUGUUUAUCAAUUUUCAUGCGGUUAAUUUGCCUGGAAGGAGGGACUAAUAUGCUUGUGAUCGCAUUGCCCCGCUCAACAUAAGCAUUGUUUUGUGCGUGCCUCACUGAGAACUUGACUUUUCGCCUGUUUUCGAUACUCAUACAUGUCGGAAUAAUACAACGACAAAUUCACACCCGAAAAGGAUAAUAAUUGUCUUACAUAUUCAGGAUAAUAUAAAAUACCACAUGCGACACCUCCCCAAAGACAUAGGGACAAAAGAAGAAGGAAGAGGCUAAAGAAGGAAGACACAUACAACGAUUUGGGCCGCUGCUAACUAAUUCUUCAUGGAUUUUCGGCCGUACAGUUCCUCAAUCUCCUUCUUCAUCACCUCCACGACCUCCAUCUCCUCCUACCUCUCCUCUUCCAUCUUCCGCAUUGCGGCCAUGGCACAUGAUUUUUGCUGGAAAGCAUAGAUGCUCUCCUUUACGGAUGCAUGAAAUUCAUGGACAUGCGCCACGGAUUCCUUAAACACCCCUUCACACACUAUGUGGAGCUUCGCUAAGUCUUCCAAAAGUUCGUUGGCGUGAUUUUUAAGCCACCCCUCGGAGGCACUUUUCUCCUCGAGCAGCUUCUUCCAGGCGACGGUCUGCUGCUCCUCCUCCUUCUAGCCCGUAAGUUUCACGAUGAAGCCGGUCACCUUGUUAAGCGAGGCAUUUCUCUUCUCCAGUAGCUUCACCAAGGCAUUGAUCUCCUUCUCCUUCUUAUCAAGCUUUGCGUGCAUGCAUUCGCUGGCUGAGGAAUACACCACUGCCACCUCGUCCAGUUCGCCUCUGAGGCGAAUGCGCUUGUGAUUGUGAGAGACCUUGCCUCUCCGUGCAAGAUUCUUCGAGGCGUCCGUAGCUCCGUUAGACAUCUCUGCUAUAGCAAACGUGGCGUGGCUGGAGCUCUCUGGCGCUUCUUCGACGCGUCUACGGGACCUCUCGGUUGCUACCGCAGCCUUGGUAUUUCUUCCCUAGUUAUGUCUUGACCUAGAAACCCCCCUCCUAUUGGCCAUGGCAGACAGAAUUUUGGAGGAAUGAUUAACAAGAAAGGCCCGUUUUUUUGGUGAUGGGGAGAGGAACUGUAACGCCCAAGAUGUGGUACUAUCCUUAUUUAGGCUGAAGCCUUGAUAGGGAUAUAAGCGCAUCUCAUCAUUUCGCAAGUAUAUACAUCAUUGCAAUAUAUGUAAUAGAGGAAAUGAGUAUAUGAUGUUGCUUACACUUGCCACAUGCUAAAUUACAUAAUCUGUACAAUCAUCCAUUCAAACAUCCAUAAGAGCAGGGUCCGACUAUGAGCGAAAUCAAACCACAAAAGAAAAUUACGUCUAUUUUGCUAUUCCCACGAAUACGUCCAAGGAUCCCUCUACUCGUUGGGAUAAGUGACGUACAUACGUUCGCGCUCCUCGUCAAACUCCCACUAGAGCUGGGAAGCAUCACGUGCAUCAACCUCUGUUUUACCUAGACCGGUGGUGUUGUAGUAAUCUAUGAGCCAUGGGGACUCUGCAAUCUCAUCGACCAAGAUAUCGAGUCUAAUCAAGUUAUUAGUUGAGGCAUGGUUAAGUGUUGAGGUUGCAGCAGCACUAAGCAUAUAUUUGGUGGUCAGCUUUUGAGUACAUAGUAAGAUGAGAGGCUACACAUAACAGAUGUGAAUUUAACAUAAUCAAGAAGUGAUCAUGAAAACCUACUUAAUUUUCGAACAUAACUCCAUUGUGUUCUCUUCCCGAACUCCCUAGAAAAGGGACAAUCACGGUUACACACACAAUUGGUCUAUUUUAGUUGAGUUUACCUCAAGUUUUUUAUAAGUGGGUGUUAAACUAUUUCCAAGUUGGCCACAUAAUUGCGGGCACGACUUUCAAAAAGAUUUAACACUACAGGGGUGUUGUAACUCAUCCAUCAAAACUAGACACAAGCUUCGCUGGAAAACCUCAAUGUCAAGAUAGUCCAAGGUAUCCUCAAAUUCCAAGUGCACAAGAUAUUCAAAAAAGGUAAACAAAUCCAGCAAGACCGUCCAUCAGGCUAGAUCCCAAUGGGAGUCGCGCAUAUCCCUUUCUCAGGGCACUACCAGAUGGGAAAGCCUAUGAGUAAAACCAAACCCAGGGUUUCCCCAUGGUAAACCCAGCAGUCUGCCCGUUUGGACCAACACUCAUGAGGAGCACUGGCCCGAGUUGUUGAUUAAUUAUCCAUGGGGUAGCUAAGCCCUAUGUGUUUUUAUUAGGUUGUUAGGAAAUAUAGUAUCAAUAUUGGGCCUUGCCGGAAGAUUUUUAUCGCAAAACAAAUUAUCAUGGGGGUCCCCAUAAAAACCCCAAGCAUGUUAGGAGCGCUCAAUAUGGAACAUAACACCAGUAAACGGAAACUAGGGCGGCAAAGGCGGAACAAAACACUGAGCAAAAGUCCAAGCCUUCCACCUUUUACCAAUUAUAUGUGCAUUGAAUUAAAUAGCAAUAAUAUGGUGAUAUCCCAAAAUAUCAUUUUUGACACAUGGAUCAACCUGCCAGUGCAAGUAACAACGAUAUAAGGACUGAGAAAGCUUUCCUAGGAGGUGGAGGGGUUAGAGGCUUAUUAUGGAAUUUUGGGACGUUUGGCAUUCAAGUGGUAGGCAGCGAGAAAUAAUGGUAGAAGCUAGACAACUAUGCACAACAAAAGUAGAAACGAUACCAAGGGUGGUGAUCAUCUUACCUUGUGCUUCUUCAAUGGGAUAGAACUCUUACUCUUUAGAAACAUUCUCGACAGGUACCUCAUACACGUUUUUUCUCAUCACCCGAUGCUACCCAAAAGAAAUAACAACAUCCAAUGAACACACAACCAAGGCACAAUGAUCAAGCAAUAUGAUGUGUGGUCAUGUGGUUAAUGAAACAUGGCAAACCCAUACUAGUCAUCUUUCUCAUGCGAUUAUUUAGUUAUUUAAUUACCUGGACACAAACUCAAGAUUAAUUAUUUGGAUAUGCAUGAAUAUAGGAAAAAUGAAUGCUUCACAUGAAUAUGGUGCAAAUGCAUAUGAAGAACGUUGCAAUCAGAGUUAUGGAUCUCUCAGGGCACUCGCGACAAGGUACGGAAGAAAACGAUGACAAAACAGAAUUUGAGAGAGGUUAUGGAAAAUUUCUUGGUAUCCCAAGUAUGUAAUGGAUUGUAAAUGAAAUUAUAGGUGAAAUGGACCUAAAUAUCAUGAAAAACAAGUGGGUAAAACUCACACAAAGUCCAAAAACGAAUAUGCAAUGUAAUCUGUCCAAUGCGUCAACAUGGCAUUUUGCACACAUCAAAACAACAAGGUACGGGAAUCUAAAAUGCACAAACAAGGCAUGGGGAAGAAGUAUGUAACAUAUACUUCAUUUCAUCACGAGGAAUCACACUCAAAAGAGUCAUGGAUCACAUGGUAGGAAGCUCACAACAUGACUAUACAAAUUAGCAUUUAGGGACUUAGUGAAAAUAACAGUUUUUCCACAACCAGUGUUAACCUGAAGACAUAUUGACAGCAAGCAAACUAUAUGCUAAGGAUCUAUCACCGCAUGCAAAUCUAGAGCAUGGUAGUGGACAUGAUGCACUACAAGUAACUCCAGAGGGGCAUCAUCAAAAUAUCCACAGAAACUUGGCUAGCGUCAACACAGUAAGGCAAUCUAAAAUAAAAAGUUUCUCGGACUUAGAAAAAAUAACAUGGUGCACACAGCAGCGGUUUUAAUAGAUUGACAUGUUUGACAACAAAAUUAACUAUGAUGCUAAUCCUAUUAUGAUUACUAAUGGCACAAAAUGGUAGAUCACAACAUGCUUUGUAAAACACCCCAUGGGGGCAACAUCAAAUGAGUUGUAGCUCAAUGGAAAUUCACAUGCAAACAUAGCACCAAAAUAUAGCAGUUUCAGAAUUAGAAUUAUUUUGACACCUCAAAAUAUCAACAUGUUAUAACAUGUUGAUAGCAAGAAACUAACACCUAAACAUGGUUUUCCAUGGCAAACAAAAAUAUCAAGGCCUAGUACACAUGUCAAAGGGCAUUUUUAAUGUUCAUACUUAUUUCAUAGGGUGCAUGGAAUAAUCACACAAAAUAGACAAAAUGACAUCUCAGCAAAAUUUAUCAUGCACACAAACUUGCUCAAAUGAUAAAACUAAUGCCAUAGAUGAAUUCUAUGUAUUUUUCUACCCCAAUUUCAUAUACAAUAUGUGUCGGGUAUUGUACAAAAUAGUUCACAACAAUUUAAACAAGUUUAUCAUAAUUCUGAAAAGCUAGAAAUAACAAAAAUGCUUCAUAGAAAACGAAAAAACAAGAUGGGCUAGGAACAGCCAGGCUCUCCUACCCACUAUCCAUGACAGGUGGGCCUGGUCCCACGCAUAUAGGCAAGAGGAUGACAUAGGUGGUCCAUCUGUCAUAGGGGCAUAAUUCCAAAAAAUGGUUUUAAAGGCGUGCUCAGGGGAUUCGAACCCAGGUCUCCCCGGCAAGAGCGAGGGUGUCGAGCCACUGGGCUAGUUAGAAAAAGCUAAACCAAGAGGGUCUCAGCUUUAGUGAUCAUGUCAUUUUCAAGGAUUUGACCCUCACUAGUUUCAGAACAAAUGAGCGGGGUACGACAUUUUGUUCCAUAUAGAAUAUCUAAUGGGGCCUUGCCCGAACUUGUUUGAAAAGUAUUGUUGUGGGAAAACUCGGCAAACGGGAGGCAGACUUCCCACUUCAUGCCGAAAGAAAUGACACACACUCUGAGCAUGUCUUCAUGGUUUUGAUUGACUCUCUCAAGUUGACCACUUGUGUGAGGGUGGAAAGUUAUACUGGAAUGGAUCUUCGUACCCAUUGCAGAUUGGAAGGAAUCCCAUAACUUGAAAGUGAAGAUGCUUCCACGGUCUGAAGAUAUAAGCUGUGGAAUACUAUGCAAAGAAACUAUCCUUCAUGUGUAUAGCUCUACCAGCUGAGCUGUCGUGAUAGAUACUUUAACCUAAAGGAAGUAGAUGACUUUCGUGAGCUUGUCGAUGACCACAAACAACAACAUUUUAUUGCAUGUUGACAGCAAGAAACUAACACUUAAACAUGGCUUUUCAUGGCAAACAAACAUACUAGGGGCUAGUACACAUGUCAACGGGCAUUUUUCAUGUUCAAACUAAUUUCAUAGGAUGUAUGGAUUAAAUCACACAAAAUAGACAAAACGACAUCUCAACAAAAUUUAUCAUACACACAAACUUGCUUAAAUGAGGGGAUUGGAAAUCGAGUCUCCUUGGCGAGCGUGAGGGAGCCGAGCCACUCGGCUAGGUGGGAAUAUACCUGGCCAAACGUGUCGUGCCUGCCGGGCCGGCCCGACUGCCCGCAGGCCAGGUACGACACGGGUCGGGCCCGACACGGCCUAAUCGUGCCCGGGCCAGGCACGAGCACGCCAUGGGUCGUGCCUGGGCCGUGACCCCCAGCCCGCGUGCCAGCCCGGCACGGCACGAUUAGGCGAGCGACCACCGACACACCGAGGCACGAGUCCGCACGAGAGCGAGCUGCGGGCGAUUUAGGCGGGGCGCGCGCGGGGGAACGCGGGAGGGGGCACGUGCGAGCGAUUUAGGCGGGACUUCGGGAGAUUUAGGCGGGACGGGGGGGGGGCGGUAGAUGCGGGCGAUUUAGGCGGGACGCGGGGUUUUUUUUCCGUAAGGGAGGCGGCGCGAAAAAAAUUUAGGGUUAUUUUCCUUUGCGUGCCUCGGGCCUAAACGUGCCACGAGCCGGCCCGAUUAGACAACGUGUCGUGCUUGGGCCUGGACCCGGCCACGCGGGCCGGCACCGCACGGCCCGUAUAUUAAUCGAGCCCAGGCGGGCCGUGCCGUGCCUGGCACGAUUACGACGGGCCGUGCCGGGCCGGCCCGUUGGCCAGGUAUGGGUGGGAACAGCUGAAUCAGGAGGGGCUCGAGCCCUCUUGUGCAGACUCACGUGAGUCUUCCCCCGCGAGGCACGGGCCAAAUAGACUCCGCUGGCGAGCAGUCCGGCGACCACCGGAGCGGACCAACGGCGACGGGGCUGCCGAAACAUGCGGGGGUGCAGGGCGACUAUGCAGCGAGCAUGGUUGCGGCAACGAGCACUGGGCAGGUCGAGCGCGUAACUGGAGCGGAGGGAACCCAAGUUCUUCACCUGUGAAGAUAACUUCAGAGAUCUUGCACAGAGUGUGGGGCAUGGCGCGGCCUACAGGGAGCUAUAGGUGGCGAGGAAUGGCAGGGAGAAAGGCAAAGGUUACCUAGCAACCUUAGACAAGUGAAAGACGACGGGGAGGCCACGGGAAGACGACGGGGAGGCCAGGAACUCCGACUAAUUUCCUGGUUCGGGGUUGUAGGUGAACUAUAGGAAGAAGGGGCGUCAACUGGGCGCUCGGGCAUCGGCCUUGACAUAAAAAACAGGACAGACGACGUGAUCUCGUGCGCGUAUACGAAUCUGCACGGCGCGGCGGGGCUAUUGAGCCGGCAGCAGGCUCCGGAUCGGGCCGGUCAUGGCGUUGGCCCGGGGAAGGGGAUACUGCGGGGGAUGCCUCUUACCUGCUCGCAGCGGUGGAGAAGGAGGAGAGGGAGAGAAGGAAACCCUUGGCAGAGGACUUGCUCUAUCGGGGGCGCUCGCACAAGCUCGGCGACCGUGGACAUGGCGUUGGUCCCUUGUUACUUACCGUGAGAGCGAGGUGGAAAGGGAGAGGAAGAAAGCAGGGGCAAGGAGACUACAGGUGGCGUUUGUAAAGAAUCGAUUGUCAAGAAACGAGAGAAUCGAACAAAUGAAUCAACUCUUGUCUUAUUCCAUGAUGUUCAACAUAUUUAUAUAAGGAGAAGGGACGCGAUGAAGAGAUGCGUCCGUUCGUAAAAGGGUGUGUGGUAUGUCGAUUGCCAUUCUACUAACCGACAUAGAUUAUUACAUGGGAGGAUUAUCCCUUUUAUUUAAUCUACUAAUUAAAUCCUAACACUCUCCCUAAUCCUUCCUUGUAUUUGCGAUCGAACAUCUUUGGAAUUAUCUCUCCUCCAAAAACCCCGUGGGAAAAAAAAUGCAAGGAGUAGUGUGUAUGAUAUGUUGCUAAAACUCCUUUAAACCCAUUAGAAAAUGUUAAGGAGAAAAUGAUGCAACAUAUAGUGAUUAUUGUCUCUUGAUAAUUCAUAUGAGAAAAACCUUUAAAUAAGGAGAAAACUCAUUGAUAAGUUUAGAGAACAAUUAAUAUGUCUUGAGUACUUCCUUUAAAAACUCCGAUAGGGAAAAUAGAAAGUAUGGCAUAUGAUCUUUGAGAAGAUAUUGCCUCACUAAAAACCAUUAUGAGAAACUUUGAGAGAAAACUCGCAAGGGGAAAGAGUGACAUCGUUCAUGCCAUUGAAAACUCCUUUAAAACCUAGUGGGAAAAAUACAAGGAGAAAAUGAUAUGGCAUAUAAAGACACUUGUGUUUAUAUUGUCUUGUUAAAAACCUUUAUGAGAAAAUAUUUGGGGAAAACUCAUUAAGGGAAAAAUAGUACAAUAUAUGCAAUCUGAUGAUUGUUAAUAGGUUAUAGUUUGGGAGAUUACUCCCCCUGAACUUUGCAAAUAUGAAGGACGUGUCAUACCAAUUCCAUUGACAUGAACAUGAGAUUUUAUAUAAUUUGUUGGAUUAUAACAAUAUUUCGUUUGCAAAUUAUUUCCUCACUUUUCUAUAAUCCGUGAGGAUAAGUAAUUUUCCGAGCAAUGUGAUUUAUGAUAUUGCUCUUCAUAUAACCUAUAGGGUAUUGAGUAACACAAGUGAAAGUACCUUGAUAAAUCAAGUUAUGUGAGUCUGAUGAAUCUCAACCACAUGAUUUUGAGUGUGGAUAACCAUUCUACUAAGUUAUGCAUAAUUUGCAAUGCUUUAGGAUAAAGCAAUUAUGUCAGAAUGAUAACUGGAAAUAACCAUUAAAAUCCGUUUAGAUGACUUCCAUGUGAAGGUUGUUCCAGCAAAUUCAGUUAUUGAUAUGGCGUUGUUGGGAUCAAAUAAAGAGCCAGUAUCAUUACAUUAUAUCAUGGUCAUAUCUUCUAUUUCCUGAUGGAAAUGUUCAAGAUUUACUGUAAUCUUCAGAUAUAAGAUGAUAGUACUUGUAUCAACCAUAUACCUUUUGUUUGAGGUUACACUCCGAAUAAAGAUAGCAAAUAUAGUGUCAGGCCUGACGUAGUUUGCAAGUAUAUGGGUGAUUUGGCAUAAGUGAGAUAUAGAAUUUCAUGUCCUGGUAUCACUUCAUUAUGACCCCUAGGUAUGAAUGGAUUUGUACCUUAUCAAAAAUAGCAUGACCAUACAUGUCUUUUGUUAAUAUGAUAUAUCCAAAUUGAACUUCUCGUAUAUGUUUGGAUAUAUGUAGACUGAUAUGUAUUCUUGAGAGAAUGUUCAAGUUGUAAACUUAAGCUAAAUUUGGUUGAAUCCAAAUUUUCCGUCUUGAGAUGAUUUUAUGUAUGUUUAGGUCUUAUAGAGACAUUGAUGAUGAAAUCAUCAUAUACACUGAGGUGAUGUAAGGAAAUAAAAUUUUGGUAUUCCUUUAUUAACACAUAAACAAUGAUAAUCCUUUGAGUAAUCCUCUGAAGAAGGAACUCGUCUAGUCGGUAAUACCAUAUGAUUCACGACUAUUUCUAGUCAUAGAGUGACUUAUGAAGUUUUAUACAAUACAUGUUGCGAUUUGUUUUUGGAUUCUGAAAUGAAGCCCUUCAAGGACUUUAAUAUAGAUUUCCGAAAUGAGUGACUCAUAUGAGUAUGUAGUCACUGCAUCCAUUAACGGCAUAGAUAAUAUUAUUUGUACUGCCAAUGGUAUUUAUUAUCGAAACAUAGUUCCACUCAUACCAAGAAGGUAUGUUACAUCUAAUCGAUGUCGGGUCUCUGCGUGAACCCUUUUGCUACAAGCCUCGCCUUUUCACCACCUCAUUGACUUUGUCUAUGAAUGAGAAGUUUUAGUAUUCUAUAAGAAAGAUACUUAUGUGGAGUAGGUAUUACUGUGGUAAAUACCACUCGUUUGCAGAGCGAGUGUUAUCUUCAUUACUUGCUUCCUUUUAUGUGAACCAAUAUGAGUACAACAGGAACUCUACCAUGGAUAUUGGUUCAGGGCCCAAAACGUUUUAGCAAUUUUUAGAAGAAAUAGAUGUCGACAAAUGUAGUCUUUAUUUUUAAUGAUUCUCGUGGAAUUGAUGACAUUUGUGGAAAUGUAUUUAUUCCUUUUAACUCCUUCUGAUUUCCUACAACAAUGGAGUUAAGGUGUUUCGAUGUCCCGACACGAAAACAUUUGUGCACAUUUAUGUCGGGUUUUGGAUGAUGAGCAUCCAGUGAGGUGUCUUUCAACUUGAUGAUGAAUUAUAUUUACUGAUUGAGGAUUUGAUUUCAUCUAUUUCCGCGGAAGCAUAUGCAAGAUUAUAUCUCGUGUGGUCAUACUUUUGUCCCCCUAUUUUACUGAUUGGGGACAAGAGUGGUUUAUCAGGUACCUCCACUCUUUUUGACACUUUACUGCAGGAAUAUAAAAUUGAGUGACAUCUUUGUCAUUAGUAAAUGUAUGUAACAGAUUUGCAAUGAGUUGCAAAUAUGUGAUUCUAAACUUCUAGUUUAGGUUCUUUGAGUAUGUGGAUAUAAGGACUCGAUGUGAAUAACAUUUCUAAUUUAUUUCUUGGCAUUCUUUGUGGUACUUAUCACCCCCUAAUGCCAGAAAUGUCCUUAUUGUUGAUGCAAUCAGCAUACGGGCUAUGAAUAAUUUUGAUUGACGAAUAAGUUGUUAUUCCUCACAUAGAUCCCUAAUUUUCUUUGAGAGCCCAUUGAUGUAUGCUGGAGUGGUGAUAUCGAUAUGUAACCGAAUUAUCGCAGAUAGGAAAUACUUAGUUGAUUUUCACGUAAUUACUACAAGGGGAAAGUAGUAUGCUAUGCAGUUGGUAUGAUUUAUAUCAUACUUACGGUGUGUAAUGUCGUAUUUGUCGAGCAUAAGGCUAGUAAAUUACGAUUCUAUAAGUUUGGUCAUAUUAUUAAUUUCAUUAUCUUUAAUAAGAUAUUGAACUAAACCAUUAUGUGUAUUACAUAAUGUAUUAUGUAUAAUGAGACAUUGCUUGUGAAAUGAGUUCAACGAAGUUGUCCAUUCGAAUGGAUUUAUCCCUUGUUUAGGAUAACUUGCUCUUACUUUGAGAAUUUGAGCAAUUAAUUUACUUAUAUCAUUCAUGGUUUGUGUGACAAGAGACACACUGGAAAUCAUUUUAUAAAUGUUUCCAUGAGUACCAUGAAGUAUCUAUAUAAUACCACAUAAUGGUUUAGUAAUCCACAUAUUUUUUGAAUGUGUUCAAGGAAGAAUGAGUUGCUCAUUUAGAAUUGUAAGGUGAGAGUGCCUUAAAUUAAUUUUCCCUAUCACACAUGUGGUGCACAUAAAAUCUGAUGAUUUGGGAAAUUUUGCAACUCGUUAAGUUGUGACCAACAGAAUUGUCCAUAAUUUUCUAAUCAACCCCAAACCAGGAUUGUAAUGCUUAUAACCAAAUAUUUUGUAAGAAUUAGAAAAUUAAUUUGUACGCAACAAAACCAAGUAUGAAUUGAUUCAUACAUUCAAAAUUUAUCAAACAUGAUGUCUAAGAAAUAGGAUGUUGGACAUUAUACUACAUGUAGUAGUACAAGUAUAGGCAAACAAUAUUUUGGGCAUAAUCGGGAUAUUACAUGAGGUCUCCCAUAUUACUGAAAAAUAAAUUAUGCAAACAUAUCAUAGGCGCAAACGAAUUGAUCAUUCUUUUAUUGCACUAUAUUUUUGGUUCUCCUUCUGAUGAAGAUUUGAGAACAUCAUUUACCAGAAUAGUUUUUGGUCGUAUGUUUGCAAAUUUUCAAAUAUCAAAAUGAACUUAUUUGCCUUUUAAUAAAUUCGUAAUAUGGUUUGACCAUAUGUUUGAGGGUUUAGUAAUCAUAUGUACGAUAUUUAUGUAAUCACACAUUUGACAAACUUGAGAGUUGUCUUUUUUUCAUUUGGAAAUGAUCAAUUCCCAAUUAAAAGGUAAUUCUGUCACUGGUUGUCUUUAGCCUCCACUUUACUUUGAAUUCCUCAUGGUUCUAUUUUGUGACCAUUGACUUGCUUCUCAAUACUAGAAAAUAUUUUCAAAUAAUGUUAUAGCACCCGUUGGGCGAAUAUAAUGAUUUUAAGAAAUAAUAUGUUUCUUUACCAUGAAAAUGGUAAUGCCAUCAUAAUAGGAUGUAAAGUGUAUUAUGGGAUAUUCAAUCGGAUUCAAAUAAGAAAAAUAUCUGAUCACAAAAUCUCAAUUUCAAGUUGAUUGUAUAAUUACCAAAAGUAAGGUGCGGUAGACUUGAGGCCUUGAAAAAUUAUUGGGUGAUCAUUCCAAAUGUGCUCAUGGCAGCAUGCUCUCUUAAGGGAAAUAUUCAAGGUGAAUAAAUAUUCGUCCAUUAUGUACUUAGUUUGAAAACUAAGUGAAGUUGGUGACAGGAGAAAUACAUAUGGACAUAAUUAGCUAUUAAGAGAAUAGCCAUGACAAAUAUUACGAAGGUGGAGUUAUAGUGGCCACAAAUGCCGCAUGUGGAUACAAUGACUGAUGUCAUGAAUCAUCUUACAAUAAAUACUCCCACCAAAUCAUGCAUUUACUAUAUUUGGAAAUGACAAUCAUGCAUUACUUAAAAAAUGCUAAUGCAUUUAUUUAAUUUACUUCUAGGAGUAAAAUAAAAUAUACGGAUGAAAUGAUCUUGUUGAGCACAAUCCGCCAAGGUGAUGCUUGGUGAACAUGGGGUGUAAACCUUCAAUAUAGUGCAUGCGAUAAAAUCGUUGCUAAUGUUUUGGACUUCAUUCGUGAGAAAAGUGUGACUUUAGAGUCACGGCCAAAACAUAGACUUUGCAAUUUUAACAUUGCUUUGUCACUAUUGAAAUAACAACCACAAUGUGAUGCGGAUCUUGCAAUAGUGUUUGAGACACUCGCUAUAAAUUAUGGCAUCCAUCUUGAUGGAUGGAUGACACUAUAAUUAAAAAUAGUGACGUAGGCUCCGUUGCCAUGUAUUUUACCAAUGUAAUAGAAGGUAAUCAUUAGAGUAUGCAAAUAUUUGCAUAAUUCUCUAUGACAUAUUCAAACAAAAUGAGGUUUGAAAAUUGAUAUUGGUAGAUAAUACCAUUCAACAUGCAAUAAUCAUGCAUGAAAUUACUAUGAUAGUAAAUCAUUUUAGUGAACAACAACAAUUGCUUCAGAGGAGCAAAUUUUAGUACGGCUGAUGUCAUAUAGCCAUAUGUGUAGACCUAAAUUGAUAUAGAAUAACACUUUAAAGAUAAUCACCAAUAUGGUGUAGAUCUCGCAGUAAUGGAAAACAUAGUCUGACUUUUGUCAGUAGAUGUUCAUAAUUCUAUUACCUUAUGUUAUGCUAUAUUUAAGAAAAUCACUUUAAGAUAAUCAUAUGUCAGAAUGACAUGAUGUAGACCUUGAAGUAAUAAUGGAUAGUCUGCAAAAUUUUGCAGUAGAUGCCAAUAUUAAUUUAUGAUUUCUUGAGGUAGCCACAUCUAAUAUUAAUAUUUGGAAGAGCACUUUAAAGGUAAUCAUCUUGUAAAAUUGACAAGAUGUAGACCUCACAGUAAUGGUGAAUAAUCUACAAAUGGUGCAGUAGAUCUACACACUACCUUAUGAUGCCAAAACAUCAAUUUGAAAAACAACACUUGGAAUUUUGCAUAUCAAUUCAUGCUUGUAUCAAGAAAAAUGCUCAAUUAAAAUGAAUUGAUUUUUAUUUCCUAGAAAACAAAAAUCCCAAUUGCAAAUAAACGUAUUAAUCUCGACAUGUAGCGAACAUGGAGAUACAUAAGAUCAAUUUAGGAUCUCGAGUAUAUUAGUACUCAACAAAAAAUGGCACAUAAUUAUAUGUACCAGAUUUAACAGUUUAAACAGUAAUAAAAUCUCUGCUAGAAUUAACUGUAAAAUCAUAAUUAACACAAGUUUUGGCCUAUUCAAGAAUAGGCAAAGCCGCAAGGACUAAAGUGCAAACUGUGAAAAGAUAAGGUUGCUUCUUCCAUUCUCCUCUCCCGUAUGGGGAUAGGAAUCACCCAUCCAUUCCCUUGGUGGGGAUUUUCCCCGUACGAGGGCACCGUUGGCUGCCGCGCCCUCAGCACCAACUACUGCUGAAUCUCAAAACCGCCAGAAGCCAUGGCUGCAACCGAGCGGCGGCCAGUCGAGGCCGAAUUCUGCGGCUACGGCCAGUAGCAUGGUGCGGGCGCUGGGAGGCAUGCGGGAGCACGACUACAGCAUGGCGUUGCCGGCCACGGUACGGGCGCUGGGAGGCACGCAGGAGUGCGACCACAGCACGGCGCUGCCAGCCAUGGUGCGGGUGGGCUAGUGCGAGCGCAACGCGACGCAAGCAGGCGCAACGCACGACCGGCGGACGAGCAGAUGGGCGGCGGGCGCGUCGCGACGCGUGCGGGGAGAGGCGGGGCGGCCUUGGCGCAUGCGAGCGUGGCGCGGCGUGUGACCUCGGCACGGGCCGGGUAAGGCCUCGGCACGGGCGAGCGUGGCUCGACGCAUGGCCUCGGCGCGGGUAGGCGCGUCGCAAGGGCAAGGCCUCGGCCUUGCGGGCGACGGCCUCGACCUCGGCGAGGCGGCGGUUCUUGGCCUUGCGGACGGCGGGCUCGGCCUCGGCGAGGCGGGGAUUCUCGGCGUCCUCCUCGCAUGGCGCGGGCGCGUGACACAGGCGGCUAGGAGGGCGUGGCCAGAGGCGGUCACGGCCUGGCGUUGCCGGCCACAGCGCGGAACAUAAGAAGAUCUCGUUGUUGUUGGGUUGUUACAACUCUCCCCCACUAUAAGAAGAUCUCAUCCAGAGAUCUAGGAACUCAAUAAGUCAGGAUAUUCAGAACUGAGAAGGUCCUCACGUUCCAAACGGUAUCUUUGUGAAAAUGAUGUGAGUCUUGCACUCGGUCUCUUCAAGGAUAGCAACUCGAUGCUCACGAUAGGAUAGGUCUGCAACGUGUUGGAAAUCAGCGAUUGACUCACGAGUCUAGAAACACUUCCAGAGCUGGGAUACAUGAAAGACAUCAUGCACAUUGGAGAAAUUUGAAGGGAGCUCGAGUUGGUAGGUAAUGUCGCCUCUAUUUCAAACAAUUUUUAAAGGACCCACAAAGCAUGGUGCAAACUUCCCUUUGAUGCCAAAUCGCUGAGUGCCCUACAUUGGAGACACUCGGAGAUAGACAUAGUCAUUGAUUUCAAAGGCGAUGUCACGAUGCCUGCUAUCAUAAUAGCUCUUUUGACGAGAUUGAGCGGCUUUGAGCUUUUCACGAAUGACACGGCACAUAUCUCCAGCUUCAGUGAUCAUGUCAUUUCCACAGAUUUGACGCUCACCGGUUUCACACCAACUAAGCGGGGUAUGACAUUUCCUGCCAUAGAUAAUCUCGAAUGGGGCCUUGCCCGAAUUUCCUUGGAAACUAUUGUUAUAGGAGAACUUGGCAAACGGGAGGCAGUCUUACCACUUCACGCCGAAAGAGAUAACAAACGCUCUAAGCAUAUUUUCAAGGAUUUGAUUGCCUCUCUCAACUUGACCACUUUUUCGAGGGUGGAAAGUUGUACUGAAACGGAUUUGGGUACCCUUUGCAGAUUGGAAGGAAUCCUAGAACUUUGAAAUGAAGAUGCUUCCACGGUCUGAAGAUAUAAGCUGAGGAAUACCAUGCAAAGAAACUAUCCUUGAUGUGUCCAACUCUGCCAGUUGAGCUAUCGUGAUAGAUACUUUAACCAGAAGGAAAUGGGCGACUUUAAUGAGCUUAUUGAUGACCACAAAUAGCAAUAUUUGUAGCAUUUUGAUAGCUAGAAACAAACACCUAAACAUGGCUUUUCAUGGCAAACAAAAAUACCAUGGGCUAGUACACAUGUCAAAGGGCAUUUUUCAUGUUCAAAUUUAUUUCAUAAGGUGCAUGGAUCAAAUCACACAAAAUUGACAAAAUGACACUUCAGCAAAAUUUAUCAUGCACACAAACAUGCUCAAAUGAUAAAACUACUGCUACGGCUGGAUUAUAUGUAUUUUCCUACCCAUAUUUCAUAUAUAAUAUGUGUGGGCUACUGUCCAAAAUAUUUCACAACAAUUUAAGCAAGUUUAUCACAAUUCUUAAAAUCUAGAAAUAAAAUAAAAUGUUUUAUAGAAAANNNNNNNNNNNNNNNNNNNNNNNNNNNNNNNNNNNNNNNNNNNNNNNNNNNNNNNNNNNNNNNNNNNNNNNNNNNNNNNNNNNNNNNNNNNNNNNNNNNNNNNNNNNNNNNNNNNNNNNNNNNNNNNNNNNNNNNNNNNNNNNNNNNNNNNNNNNNNNNNNNNNNNNNNNNNNNNNNNNNNNNNNNNNNNNNNNNNNNNNNNNNNNNNNNNNNNNNNNNNNNNNNNNNNNNNNNNNNNNNNNNNNNNNNNNNNNNNNNNNNNNNNNNNNNNNNNNNNNNNNNNNNNNNNNNNNNNNNNNNNNNNNNNNNNNNNNNNNNNNNNNNNNNNNNNNGCCACGCGUACAUGCAAAACGGUGACACGGGUGGUCCACCUAUCAUAGGGCAUAAUUCCAAAAAAUGGCUCUUUCGGCAAAAUUUAUCAUGCACACAAACAUGCUCAAAUGAUAAAACUACUGCUACGGCUGGAUUAUAUGUAUUUUCCUACCCAUAUUUCAUAUGUGUGGGCUACUAUCCAAAAUAUUUCACAACAAUUUAAGCAAGUUUAUCACUAUUCUUAAAAUCUAGAAAUAAAAGAAAAUGUUUUAUAGAAAANNNNNNNNNNNNNNNNNNNNNNNNNNNNNNNNNNNNNNNNNNNNNNNNNNNNNNNNNNNNNNNNNNNNNNNNNNNNNNNNNNNNNNNNNNNNNNNNNNNNNNNNNNNNNNNNNNNNNNNNNNNNNNNNNNNNNNNNNNNNNNNNNNNNNNNNNNNNNNNNNNNNNNNNNNNNNNNNNNNNNNNNNNNNNNNNNNNNNNNNNNNNNNNNNNNNNNNNNNNNNNNNNNNNNNNNNNNNNNNNNNNNNNNNNNNNNNNNNNNNNNNNNNNNNNNNNNNNNNNNNNNNNNNNNNNNNNNNNNNNNNNNNNNNNNNNNNNNNNNNNNNNNNNNNNNNNNNGCCACGCGUACAUGCAAACGGUGACAGGGGUGGUCCAUCUAUCGUAGGGACAUAAUUCCAAAAAAUGGUUCUAAAGGCGCGCUCACGGGAUUCGAACAUGGGUCUCUGAGGCGAGAGCGAGGGAGCCAAGCCAUUGGGCUAGGCAUGAACAACUGAAGCGAGAUGGACUCGAGCCCUCUAGUGCAGACUUAGGUGAGUCUUCCUCCGCAAGGCAGGGGCCUAAUUAAUGGCGCCGGCAAGCAGUCCGGCGACCAUCGGAGCGGACGAACAACGUAGGGGCUGCAGAAACGUGCGGGAGUUGCAGGGCGACUACGUGGCGAGCAUGAUUGUGGCACCAAGUGCUUGGCAGGGCGAGCGCAUAACUGGAGCGGGGGUAACCCAAGCUAUUCACCUCUGAAUAUAACUUCAAAGAUCUUGCAUAGACGCGGGGAGCACAAUGAUGGGAUGGGCAUGGCGAGGCUAACGGGGAGCUAUCAGCGGCGAGGAAUGGCAGGGAGGAAGGUGGUGGUAUGCUAGCUACCUUAGACAAGUCGAAGACGAUGGGGAGGCCACAAGAACAUGACUGUGAGGCGAGGAAGAAAGGGCAUUUCCUAGCCCACGGUUGCAGGUGAAGUAGAGGAAGAAAGGGCAUCGACGGGGCACUCGAGGCUCGUCCUUGAUGUUAAAAAUGGGAUCGGCGACGUGAUAUCAUGCGCAUAUCCUAAUCUACAGGGAACGGUGGGGCUACCAUGCCAGCGGUAGGCUCAGUAUCGGGUCGGUCAUGGCGUUGGCACGGGAAAGGGGAUACUGCGAGGGGUGCCUCUUACCUGCUGGCAGCGGCGGAGGAGUAGAAGAGGGGGGAAGGAAACCCUAGGUAGAGGGCUUUCUUUAUAGGGGACGCAGGGACGAGCUCGACCACCGUGGCUAUGGGAUUGGUUCCCCGUUACUUACCAUGGGAGGGAGGUGGAAAUGGAGAGCAAGAAAGCACGGGGAAGGAGAGAUUGCAGGUGGGGUCGGUCGGCGUCUACGGUGGAGUUACAGCGCGCUCGAGCGAGGGAGGCUGGGUUACUGGGGGGUGCUCGGCCGGUGUUAAAGUAAAAAAAAGAUUGAAGAAAAGUGAAUGGACGGUUAGUCCUGUUUCUUUUGAUUCUCAAGUAUAUAUACAUCUGGAAGAGCUGGGAAUAAGAGGUGCUUGUUCGGAGGCGUCCCUCCAGAACAGGUGCCUGUUGGCAAUAGAGAGAGAAAAGACAUGACUAUUCGGGGUUGGACACACCGUUUGCUAAUUAAUUUCUAACACCCCCCUUGUACAACAUCAUUCCUUGAAUGUUUCAUUGUUGAAAGCUUCUUGCAUAUAUAUCUUCCAUCUUGAGAAAUCUUCCAUAUAAUCUUGGGAGUCUCCCCCAAAAACCCUGUGGUAAAAAUAUGAGGAGAAUAGAGUAGAUAUGUUGCUAAAACUCCUUUAAACCAAGUGGAAAAAAUAAGGAGAAGAUGAUGCAACAUAUGAUGAUUAUUGUCUCUUGAUAACUCAUAUAAGAAAAACCUUUGAAGAAGGAAAAAACUCAUCAAUAAGUUUAGAGAACAAUUAAUAUGUCUUGAGUACUUCCUUAAAAAACCCUGAUAGGGAAAAUAGAAAGUAUGACAUAUGAUCUUUGAGAAUAUAUUGCCUCACUAAAAACCAUUAUGAGAAACUUUGAGAGAAAAUUCAUAACGGAAAAGAGUGCAAUCGUACAUGCCACUGAAAACUCCUUUAAAACCCAGUGGGAAAAAUAUAAGGAGAAAACGAUAUGGCAUAUAUAGACAUUUGUGUUUAUAUUAUCUUGUUAAAAACCUUUUAUGAGAAACCAUUAGGGAAAACUCAUCAAGGAAAAAAGAGUACAAUAUAUGCAAUCUCAUGAUUGUUAAUAGGUUAUAGUUUGUGAGAUUACUUCCCCUGAACUUUGAAGAUAUGGAGGAUGUCUCAUACCAAUUGCAUUAACAUGAACAUGAGAUUGUGUAUAAUAUGUUGGAUCAUCACAGUAUUUUGUUUGCAAAUUACUUCCUCACUUUUCUAUAAUCCGUCAGGAUAAGUAAUUUCCUAGCAAUGUGAUUUAUGAUAUUGCUCUUCAUAUAACCUGUAGGUAUUGAGUAACACAAGUGAAAGUAUCUUGAUAAAUCAAGUUAUGUGAUUCUGAUGAAUCUCAACCACAUGAUUUUGAGUGUGGUUAAUCAUUCUGCCAAGCCAUACAUAUUUUGCAAUGCUUUUAGAUAAAGCAAUUAUGUGAAAAUGAUAAGUGUUUAUAACCACUGAAGUCCAUUUACACGACUUCCAUAUGAAGGCUAUUACAACAAAUUCAGUCAUUGAUAUGGCGUCAUUUGGAUCAAAUAAAGAGACAAUAUCAUUACAUCAUAUCAUGGUCAUAUCUUCUAUUUCCUGAUGGAAAUAUCCAAGAUUUACUGUAAUCUUCAGAUAUAAAAUGAUAUUAAUUAUAUCAACCAUAUACCUUUUGUUGGGGGUUGCACUCCGAAUAAAGAUAACAAAUAUAGUGUCAGUCCUGACAUAGUUUGCGAGUAUACGAGUGCUUUGACAUUAGUGAGAUAUAGAACUUCAGGUUGUAGUAUACUUCAUUAUCACCCCUAGGUGUGAAUGGAUUUGUACCAUAUCAACGAUAGUAUGACCAUACAUGUCUUUUGUUGUUAUGAUAUAUCCAUAGUGAACUUCUCGUAUAUGUUUUGGGUAUAUGUAGACUAGUACAUAUUCUUGAUCGAAUGCUCAAGCUGUAAACUUAAGCUAAAUUUUGUUAAAUCCAAAUUUUCUAUCUUGAGAUGAUUUUAUGUAUGUUUAGGUAUUGUAUAGACAUUAAUGAUGAAAUUAUCAAUAUACAGAGAGGUGAUAUAAGGAAUUCAAAUUUGGUAUUCCUUUGUUAACACAUAAACAAUCAUCAUUCCUUAAGUAAUCCUUCGUAAGAAGAAAAUCAUUUAGUCGGUGGUACCAUAUGAUUUGCGACUAUUUUGAGCCAUAGAGUGACUUCUGAAAUUUUACACAAAUAUGUUGCGAUUUAUUUUGGCUUUGGAAUUGUAAGCCCAUUAGGGAGUUCGUUAUAAACUUCCAAAAUGAGUAACUGAUAUGAGUUUGUAGUUACUCCUUCCAUUAACUGCAUGGAUAAUAUUAUUUGUACUGCCAAUGAUAUUUAUUAUCGAAACUUAAUUCCACUCAUACCAAGAGUGUAUGUUACAUCAUAAUUUGAUGUCGGGUCUCUGCGUGAACCCUUUUGCUACAAGUCUCACUUUCCCACCACCUCAUUGACUUUUACAUAAAUGAGAAGUUUUUAGUAUUCCUUAUGGGAGAUACUAAUGAGUAUGUAUUACUGUGGUAAAUACCACUCUUUGCUGAGCGAGUGUAAUUCUUCAUUACUUGCUUCCUUUUAUGUGAACCAAUAUGAGUACAAGAGGCACGCUACCAUGGAUUUUGGUUCACGGCCCAAAAGGUUUUAGCAAUUUUGAGAAGAAAUAUAUGUCGACCAAUGUAGUCUUUAUUUUAUAUGAUUCUAGUGGAAUCGAUAAAAUUUGUGGAAAUGUAUUUAUUCCUUUUAACUCCUUGUGAUUUCCUACAACAAUGGAGUCAAGGUGUUUCGAUGUCCCGACAGCAAAACAUUUGUGCACAUUUAUGUUGGGCUUUGGAUGAUGAGCAUCUAGUGAGGUGUCUUUCAACUUGAUGUUGAAUUACAUUUACUAGUUGAGGAUUUGAUUUCCUCUAUUUCCGCGGAAGCAAUGCGAGAUUAUUUCUCAUGUGGUCAGAUUUCUCCAGCUCUUUCUCUCAUUUGGGGAGAAGAGUGGUUUAUCAGGUACCUCCACUCUUUCUGGCACUUUACUGCAGGAAUAUAAAUUUGAGUGACACCUUUGUCAUUAGUAAAUCUAUGUGGCAGAUUUGCAAUAAGAUGCAAAUAUGUAAUUCUAAACUUCUUGUUCAGAUUCUUUGAGUACGUGGAUAUAAGGACUGAAUGUCAAUAACAUGUCUAAUUUAUUUCUCGGCAUUCUUUGUGGUACUAAUCUCCCCCUAACGCCGAAAAUGUCAUUAUUGUUGAUGCAAUCAGCAUACGGGCUGUGAAUAAUUUUGAUUGACGGAUAAAUUGUUAUUCCUUACAUAGAUCCCUAAUUUUUGUUUGUGAGGGCACAUUGAUGUAUGCUGGAGUGGUGAUAUCGGUAUGUAACCGAAUUAUCGCAGAUAGGAAAUACUUUGUUGAUUUCCACGUAAUUACUACAAGGGGAAAGUAGUAUGAUAUGUAGUUGGUAUGAUUUAGAUCAUACUUACACUGUAUAAGGCCGUAUGUUACCAGCAAGAGGCUGGUAAAUUUACAAUUCUUUAAGAUUGGUCUUGUAACUAAUUUCACUAUCUUUGAUAAGAUAUCAAAUUAAACCAUUAUGGGUAUAUACAUAAAGUAUUAUAUAUAAUCAGACAUUGCUUGUGAAAUGAGUUCGACGAAGUUGUCCAUUCGAAUGAAUUUAUUCCUUGUUUAGGAUAAUUUGCUCUUACUUUGAGAAGUUGCUCAAUUAAUUUAGUUAUAUCAUUCAUGUUUUUUGCGACAAGAGACACACUUGAAAUCAUUUUUUAAUGUUUCUAUGGGAACCAUGAAGUAUCUAUAUAAGACAACAUAAUGGUUGAAUAAUCCACAUAUCUUCUGAAUGUGUUCAAGGAAGAAUGAGUGGCUCAUUUAGAAUUGUAAGGUGAGAGUGCCUUAAAUUAAUUUCCCCUAACACACAUGUGGUGCACAUAAAAUUUGAUGAUUUGGGAAAUUUUGCAACUUGUUAAGUUGUGACCAACAAAAUUGUCCAUAAUUUUCUAAUCAACCCCAAACGAGGAUUGCAAGGCUUAAAGCUAAAUAUUUUGUAAGAUUUAGAAAAUUAUUUUGUACGCAACAAAACUGAGUUUGACUCGAUUCAUGCAUUCAAAAAACUAUCAAAUAUAAUGUUCAGGAAAUAGGAUAUUGGAUAUUACACUACAUGUACUAGUACAAGUAUAGGCAAACAAUAUUUUGGGAAUAAUAGGUAUAUUACAUGAGGUCACCCAUAUUACUGAAAAAUGAAUUACGCAAACAUAUCAUAGACACAAAAGAAUUGAUUAUUCUUUUAUUGCACUAUAUUUUUGGUUCUCCUUGUGAUGAAGAUUUGAGAACAUCAUUUACCAGAAUAUUUUCUCGUUGUAUGUUUGUAAAUUUUGAAAUAUCCCAAUGAACUUAUUUGCCUUUUAAUAAAUUUGUGAUGUGGUUUGACCAUGUGUUUGAAGGUUUGGUAAUCAUAUGUACGAUAUUUAUGUAACCACAGAUUUGACAAAUUUGAGAGUUGUCUUUGUGAUCAUUUGAAAAUGAUUUAUUCCCUAUUAAGAGGUAAUUCUGUCUUUGGUUGUCUUUUAGCCACCACUUUACUUUGAAGUCCUCAUGGCUAUAUUUCGUCACCAGUGACUUGGUAUUCACUACCAACAAGAUUUUCAAAUGAUGGUAUAGCACCUGUGGGGUGAGUCUGAUGAUUUUAAGAAAUUCCAUGUUCCUUCAUCUUGGAAAAUGGUAGUACCAUCAUUAGAGGAUGAAAAGUGUAUUAGUGGAUUUUCAAUUGGAUCUGCAUGUGAAGAUUCUGGCCAUGAGAUCUCAACUUGAAGUUGAUUAAGGUGACAGAACUGUGAGUUGCGAUAAGAUUUGAUGUCUUUGAAAAACAAAUGGGAGAUCAUUAGCGAUGUGCUCAUGGUAGCAUGUUUCUCUUGAGCGAAUAUUCAAGGUGAAUCUAUAUUCAUUCAUUGUGUACUUAGUUUGAGAACCAAGUGAAGUUGGUGACAUAUAAAAUGCAUAUGUGCAUCAAUAGAAUAGCCAUCUGUUACAUGAAAUGGUCAUGCAUUAUUUAAUUUACUUCUUGGAGUUAAAUAUAUGGAUGAAAUGAUCUUGUUGAGCAAAAUCUACCAAGGUGAUACUUGGUGAACAUGGGGUGUAAACCUUCAAUAUAGUCCAUGCGAUGAAAUCGUUGAUAAUGUUUUGGGCUUCAUUCAUGAGAAAAAGUGUGACCUUAUAGUCACGGACAAAACAUAGACUUUGCAAUUUUAACAUUGCUUAGUCACUAUGAAAAUAACAAACCACAAUGUGAUGUGGAUCUAGCAAUAGUGUUUGAGACACUCGCUAUAAAUUAUGGUAUCCAUCUUGAUGGAUGGAUGACAUUAUAAUUAUAAAUAGCGACGUAGGCUCCAUUGCCAUGCAUUUUACGAAUGUAAUAGAAGGUAAUCACAUGUAUAUGCAAAUAUUUUCAUGGUUUCCUAUGACACAUUCAAGAAAAAUGUGCAAGAAUAAUAUUUACUAUGAGAGUAAAAUAUUUUAAAGAACAACAACAAUAAAUGCUUCGAAGGAGCAAAUUCUAGUACAGUUGAUGCCUUAUAGCCAUAUGUGUAGACCUUAAUUUAUAUAGGAUAACACUUUGAAGAUAAUCACCAAUAUGGUGUAGAUCUCGCAGUAAUAGAAAACAUAGUUUGACUAUUGUCAGUAGAUGUUCAUCAUUCUAUUACCUUAUGUUAUCUAUUUUUAAGAAAAUCACUAUGAAGGUAGUCAUCUGUCAGAAUGACAUGAUGUAGACCUUGCGGUAAUAAUGGAUAGUGUGUAAAAUUUUGUAGUAGAUGCCAAUAUUACCUUAUGAUUUCUUGAGGUAGUCACAUCUAAUAUUAAUAUUUGGAAGAGCACUUCGAAGGUAGUCAUUUUGUUAAAAUGACAAGACGUAGACUUUACAGCAGUGAUGGAUAAUCUGCAGAUUGUGUAGUAGAUGCCAUCAACACCUUGUGAUUUACAAAUAUGUUUUGGGCUAGACACCUUAAUAUUUAGAAGAGCACGUUGAAGGUAGUCAUUUAUGAAAAUGACAAAAGACAUAGAACUCACAGUAGUGAUGGAUAAUUUACAAAUUGUGCAAUAGAUAAUAACUGGUGAUUCAUAAAUAAAACGCGAUGUAGUCAUAUUGAGUAUGACACUUCGUCAUCCUUGUUUUGAAUUACAACUAAAUUUGCAAGAAAAAAAAUUGAUUUUGCAAAAAUUAUAGUUGUUAUCUUAAAAUGCAUGCCUUAGGAAAUGUUUGAAAUUCUGAAGAAUAAAUGUAGGUCAAACAUUCUUCUGCAUUAGUAUUAUUGUGGUAAUACAUAUAGAUGCAAAGCAUAAUGUUUUACAUAUUUAUAAAGACAUGAGGCUUCAAAUAAAUAUCUUAGGAAGAAAUCCGAUGGAAGUUCGUCUAAUCCUCAGGGCUAGACCACAAAAUACACAAGAAUAAGAGAGAGUGAACAGGCUAUGACCAAAUCAAGCAAAUGGAUAAGGUUUUCAUAAUCUUCUGUUGUACGGUUCCUGAAUGAUAAGGUGUGCGUCUCUUUGUGUGGUUAAGAAUCCAUUGGAUAAACCCAACUCGACACCGCGCCGUCUGCGCUUCCGCGCAAAGCACUGGCUGUUGGCCGGCGCCACAGCCAAGCGCCGGGCUCGCCACAAUUAUUCGCCACCAGUUGCAGGGAGCGGGGUGCGUGUUCUCCCGGAGCACCGGGCUGGCCACAAUUAUUCGCCGGGCUGGCAACAAGCCGCACCGGAGGGUGCCACUGCCCUACCGUGUCUCGUCGUGGCCGCGCAUGAAGGAGAGGGCGCAAUCACGGCCAUUCGCCAAUUGCAUCGCUGGCCCGUGCGUUGCGUUUCGAGAGGAGGCCAUGGCUGCGCCUCGCGCCUGAUGACUUUGCCGUCUGGCCAUUUGCCACGUCGUGCCGGAGGGCGCCGCUGCAAGAGGUCAAGGAUGCGCCGUUCGUCUAAGGGCGCUAUAGUCGCGUUGAAGAUGCAGGUGUGAUCCUGACUAGUUGUUGCUACCAUCUUGAAGAUUUUCUGUUCAGAGUGACGUCGCCCACGCCGACUUUCCUUCAAGUAGAUUGUUGAAUAUUGAUCGAUCCAUGUAGAGAUUCUCCCACGGCAUGCAUGAACGUACAUAAAAACAAAAUCAAUUUUUAAAUUGCUGACCCUAAUCACAAGAAGACAAUAGAUUAGGCUGAUCAAUUUUUGUUCAUGAAUGCAUGCAUGUCGAUGCAUGGCCGUCUUUGUCGUGGAUGCCAUCCGUUUAGCGAGAAGCCUGGCCGGACCGACGGCUUCGUGCGCUACCAGACCACUAGAAUGCAUUUCGACGGGUAGUGCCGCGUUGCAAUUGAACAAGAGAAAACUCGGCAUCACUCUCGGGCUGGUGCCAUUGACGCCGUCGUGCUUUCCUCCGCUGACGCUGUUCGUCUUAUCGUUGCCUAAUCGCUCAAGGUUAGAGCAAAGUGCUGAUAACAUGUUAAACUAAAACGAGAUUGAAUGAAAGUGAAUGGAC
rnacentral:lncRNA from 1 species